UGGUGCAUCGAACCCACUGAGAACUGCCUCCAACACAGCAAAUGAACUACUCGUGUUACCGUUAUCAUGAAGGGAGGCAGAGGAAGAGCUCUACAUGUGACACGCUGAGCAGAGAGCGAGCAGGAGGGGGCCAGAAGGAAGCUAUCGCUAUCCGCUAAGCUAGCACGGUGGCUAACGUUAGCGGAACUAAACAACGUGAAAAUAAGACUGUUGGAUUUGUAGCGAUACGUCGCUAAAAGAAGGAGAGAUCCGAGUGUUUAAAUGUGUAAGAUGUACAGCAGGUGGGAGAGGGCGGAGUGAAGCGCUGUGGAGAUGGCGUCUUCUGUACACCUGUUCUGGCGGUAGGUGAAUUGGAGGGGGUCCAGUGUGGGUGGUAAGCAGGUUUUCAGAUGAGCCAAGACCAGCCUCUCAUACACUUCAUGAUGAUGGGUGUAAGUGCAGCGGGGCGAAAGUCGCUAAGGCUCGCUGCAGUGGCGUGUUUGGGCACUGGCACGAUAGAGGUGGCUUUAAAGCACGUUGGCACAGCUGCUUGGGCCAGUGACAGGUUGAAGAUGUCAGUCAGGACCCCAGUCAGCUGCCCAGCACAGGCCUGGAGCACACGUCCGGGAUGCCGUCAGGGCCCGCAGCCUUACGACAAUCCCAAUUGUACUUGAUCCCAGAUAUCCAGACCUCGUGAUAAUGUCCUGUUCAGGGACAACGGUGAUCAGAAGAACCAACAUCAGACACAUCCGGGUAUUUGGACCGUGCAUGAGCAGAUGGGGAGUUCAGAACUCCGUGAUCAACGUGCACAGGUCCACCACGUUCUGGCUCUAUGUGGAUGUUUCAAUGUUAGUCAACCUGCCCUGACCUGUGUGACACUGUCCGUCUAACUGGGAAAAGGGAGGCUUGUUUCUCUUAGUUGCAUCACACUGUGCACCAGAUGUGUUGAGUCAAAUGGAAAUCAAAAAGAUAUUAAAUUAGAAUUUACACAAUAUUUAUUAUAUAUAAAGUGUCAUACAGUCAGAUUUUUUAAUUACAUCAGAACUAUUAUGACAUUGGUUCUAAUAUAAAGACAU